UACAGAGGUGGCAAGCGUUGUUCGGAAUUACUGGGCGUAAAGGGCGCGUAGGCGGCCUUCUAAGUCAGACGUGAAAUCCCUCGGCUCAACCGGGGAACUGCGUCUGAUACUGGGUGGCUUGAAUCCGGGAGAGGGAUGCGGAAUUCCAGGUGUAGCGGUGAAAUGCGUAGAUAUUGGGAAGAACACCGGUGGCGAAGGCGGCUUGCUGGACCAGUACUGACGCUGAGGCACGAAAGCGUGGGGAGCAAACAGG
rnacentral:rRNA from 1 species